ensembl:lncRNA
CCCAAUAAUCAGUCUCCAUGGUAGUUAGUGAUGAUUUUUUGGCUCAUCCUUGUAAAUUUUAUACUUUCCUGUGAUUGGCUUACACAAUGAACUACAUAAAGUCAAUUAUUUGUGCUUUAUUAUGAAUGAAGUAUAAUGGAUACUGUGGAAAUCAAAUUAUACUGCAAAUUUGUACGAAUUAUUGGGUUAAUCCAUACAUCCAUUCGUAAAUACUUUAGAUUGCAGUUCAAGAAGUGAUUAGGGUGCUUUUAAAUAAUUUCAUUUUUAGAAAGUAGCUGUAGUCUGAAGUCAAGGUUUAGGUGAAUUGGUUCAGGUCCAAUAACUUCUAGGACCUAUCUUUUAUGUAAAGUGCUAAGAGCUGGAUUGUCAAUGGCACGAUAUUUUAGGUUGAUACAUAGUACAAAAUAAUCAGAAGAUACAGUAAUAAAAUGAGGUUGAUUGAAUAAAGUGAGCCAAGGAUCUAAAUAGAUGUCAGUUGGGAGUACUUGGUGAUGUGAAAACCUGGUUUUUAAGAAAUUCCUAUCUGGGUUUUCUGUUGGAAAAAAUCUUAAAAAGCCUCACUUUGGGGCUAUAGUGCACCAUAAGGUUGAUGCUGCUUCUGUUAUGUUUUCUUUGAUACUUCAUUUAUGUAGAGGUUUAUUAGAAAUGGUUUUAUUUUUUCAACAUAAGCUUAGAAUAUAAAAGAAAUGGAGUCUGUAAUUUUAUUUUGCCUGUUCAAAGACUAGAAGUGAUAACUCAGAAAAGAUUGGCUUUGACCAAAGUUUUCUUUUUUUCAGAGAAAGACCCAUAAAAGCUUACUGAGCCACAGCCUUUUAAAAGGAGGCAAGGGCAAUAUUACAAUGAAAUUUGGCUUUCUAAAAGAGUAUCAUCCUCAUCUGGGUUUUCUGUUCCAUUAGAUCUAAGUCAUUGGAUGCACUGAACCACCGUAUGUAUAACAUUGGCCUACUUAAGAAAACAGUUGACUAAUUUAAAAUGCUAUUGCUAACUAGUGAGUAGUCUGAGAAUUAGCAACAUGCCUCACAUUUUUGUUUAGUGGCUGGGUGCAGUGUUGAUCUGAUAGCACAAGGGAGGUGAGGAGCAUUGGGAGUCCCAUUUCUUUCACUCAGUAGUGUUUUGUUGAUUUGCCACAGAGCCUUUAUGGCCAGUUUAGAGUCCUACUUCAGCUUUUAUGUUCCCAAUCCUUUGUUACCACCUCUCAUCUUGGAUCUUCUUUUUUCCACUUUGUUAACCAAUUUUAUGCAUUUACUUCAAUAAAAUGCUUACUGAGGG